AGAGUGGUACACAGGUGAUGCAUGGCUGUCGUCAGCUCGUGUCGUGAGACGUCCGCUUAAGUGCGGUAACGAGCGCAACCCUUAUCCCGUGUUGCAUUUCACGGGAGACUGCUCUUGCUCUGCAAGGGAGGAAGGAGAGGACGACGUCAAGUCAGCACGUCCCUUACGUCUGGGGCCACAAACAUCCUACAAUGGAGCCGACAACAGGUCGCGACGGGGUAACCCUGAGCCAAUCCUGCAAACGGCCCCUCAGUUCAGAUUGAGGGCUGCAAUUCGCCCUCAUGAAGUCGGAAUCGGUAGUAAUCGCAAAUCAGCAGGUUGCGGUGAAUACGUUCUCGCUCCUUGUACACACUGCCCGUCAAGCCAGCAAAGUUGGCAGCGCCCGAAGCGG
rnacentral:rRNA from 1 species